rnacentral:rRNA from 1 species
ACUCCUACGGGAGGCAGCAGUGAGGAAUAUUCGGCAAUGGAGGCAACUCUGACCGAGCAACGCCGCGUGGAGGAUGGCGGUUUUUGGAUUGUAAACUCCUUUUCUCAGGGAAGAGUGAGGACGGUACCUGAGGAAUAAGUCACGGCUAACUACGUGCCAGCAGCCGCGGUAAU